rnacentral:rRNA from 1 species
UACGUAGGGGGCAAGCGUUGUCCGGAUUUAUUGGGCGUAAAGAGCUCGUAGGCGGUUUGGUAAGUCGGCGGUGAAAUGUCGGGGCUCAACCCCGUCACGCCCGUCGAUACUGCCAUGACUUGAGUCCGGUAGGGGAGUGUGGAAUUCCUGGUGUAGCGGUGAAAUGCGCAGAUAUCAGGAGGAACACCGGUGGCGAAGGCGGCACUCUGGGCCGGCACUGACGCUGAGGAGCGAAAGCUAGGGGAGCAAACAGG